UACAAUAAUAUUAGCCAAAGGUUUAACCUCUGCAUCGGUGAAAAGCUCUUUAUUAUCUGUGAAAAAUAACUAUGUGAAAAGAUAUAUGAAAUAUUUCAUAGCUUACUUGAAAAAUAACUAUGUGCCUUUUUGACAAAUACGACGAAUUGGCAAGCUCAUGCCACCACAGGAACAGACUUUUACUCAAGAACUUCAUGACAACAUAAUUGUCACCCAGUAAUGCAGUCUCUUGUUCUGUAUGAUCAUGAGUCAAAUGCUUCUACCUGCCAGUUUUGAAAUGUACAGAUCAUUCUUUAAAUUAGAUUAAAUUAGGGAGCUAGGAACCCUAAUAAAGAAACCAAGGGAUUUUAAGUCAAAAUCUUUUCUGUUCACUCAAACUUACAAUAAUUAUUAUUAUAUCAUUGUGUUGUAGAGGUGGAUGAAAUUUGCCCAUCAUCAGGCCCAGUUAAUAAGGUUGGAAACCUCUUUAACAUAUCUUUAACUGGACCUUUACCAGACGAUGUUGUACCAUGGAUGGCAGAAUUUGAAGGAGUAGAGAUAGUUGCAUUGACAAAAAUCAACCCUUACACUUUUUCUGGACUUGUUCCUGUUUCCACCCAGCCUGGUCUUGUAGGAGUAAAAGUCACAUCUCAAUCUGGUGAAUGUCUUGGUAGAACAUGCUUUCAUUAUGUUGAUGAGAUGGAAGAGCUGGCAAGACAACUUGUUCAUGACCAUAACAAGACAACUAGGUUUUUUGCCAUUUGGUCACAAUUGCAUGGUUUUGUAGGCACCGCGAGUGACAUUGCUCAAGGUAGGUG